rnacentral:misc_RNA from 1 species
AUAUCCAUCAGGUGUCCAGCUGAUCACAUCCCAUUUUAUAGUAAUGUUUCCAUUUGGAUCAAGUGGAUCAAAGGCAUCUGUUGAGCUGAAGCUGAAGCAAGAAAUCAAGAAUAGUAAAAGUAUGGUGGAAGCAAAAAAUCUGAACAAGCUCAUUUUGUGUUGUAUAUAGCAGCUGUAUAUUUUCUUGAACCUUUAUUUUUUUUUUCUUCUGGUUUUCUGUGUGCUACGUACUGAAUGGGGGAUGAAAAAGAACAAAGAGUCAGGUGACAAGUGGAAGAAGCUAAUACAACUCUGAGGCCAAGCUUGUACAUUCCAAUAAACUUCACUUUAUUCAAA